rnacentral:lncRNA from 1 species
UCCCAAUACCAGAAUCACCAUACGGAGCUAUUCCCAGACUCAGAAUCCAAAUGGACAUUGAUAACACUGAAAUGCACUUCAACCCUAACUUAUGAGAUUCUUCCAAAAUGCUAACUUCCACAAUAGGCGCCGAAACAUUCCCGGAUCUUUCAAAACCCAGUCCGGACAUACGCCCGAGUCUGAAAUCAUCAUACAAACCUGCUGGAACCUUCAAAUCCCGAUUCUGAGGUUGUUUACUCAAAAAUCCAAUCUUAGUCCAUUCUUUCAACUUAAAGCUUCCGAAAUGAGAAUUCUCUUUCCAAAUCAACUCCGAAUUUUCCGAAAUUCAAUUCCGACAGUGCGUACAAGUCAUAAUACCUGUAGUAAAGUUGUUCAUAGCCUCAAACUGCCGAAGAACGUGCUAAAGCUCUAAACGACCGGUCAGGUCGUUACAAAAAUGGUAUUUAUAUAUCUCUGUUUUUUUCAUAAGAACAUCAAAUCAACAAGGAAAUAUUUCAAAAGAACAUAAAAUCAACGCAUCUAAGUGGUCUUAAAAGGCAUCUUUAAGUUCAACAUAGAACCCCAAAAAAUCAAGAAAAAACUCAUAUGACACAUUCAAAUCGGCCCAUAUCUCGAAGUAGUUCACUUUCUAGAUAGUAAGAAUUGAUUGGAAGAGGAUGAAAAUGAAAUUCAUAGAGGAUGAAUAAAACAAUGAGGAAGACAAAGAAAAAUUGAAAAGUCUGGAAAGAGACAACAACAACAAUAACAAACCUAGUAUAAUCUCACAGGUGGGGUCUGGGGAGGUUAAUAUGUACGCAGACCUUACCCAUACCUAGAAAGGUAGAGAGUCUAUUUCCGAUAGACCCUCGGCUCAAGAAAAGGUGGAAAAAGUCUGGAAAGAGACAUGUCUCAUAUAAGAAAAUACUGUGUUAUCGAGGUCCAAUUAGGAUUCCGAGUCUGGAAAUAGUUCCGUAUGGUAUGACUUGCACGCAAAGUUUGGCAUCAUUCCAAGUAGUUUAAGUAUAUUUCAGUGCAUUGGGAGUGAGUUAGAACUUGAAGUUCAUAUUUUUGAUUCAUUUGGUUUGGGGUGUGAUUCUUAGUUUUAAUUUGUUUUGUGCGUUCUGAGAGUUUGAGUGAAUCUGUUUUAUGAUUUUAAACUUGUUGGCAUAUUCGGGCGGGGCCCCGGGAGCCUCGGAUGUAAUCGGACGAGGCUCAGACCAAGUUUGGACUUGGGAGCAUCAGCUGAAGCUUUCAGCUUCUGGUGCAAUCGCACCUACGUAGGUCCAGCUGCAGGUGCGAGCUCGCAGAAAUGGCCCAGGAAGGGCAGACCAGGAACCGCAGAUGCGCCCCACCCUCCGCAAAAGCGGAGCCAGCCAGCCGGGGCUAGGACUGCACCUACGAUGGAUUUUUUACAGGUGAGGCGUCGCAGAUGCGGCCCUAGGUUCGCAGAAGCUGAAAUCGCUGGAGGCAGACCCUCAUUUAAUACAAGACUUAGGCAUUUUUGGCUCAUUUCUUACACUUCUUGAGGCGAUUUUAGAGCUGGUUAGAAAGGGGUUUUCGUUAGCUAAUUGAGGUAAGUAAUUUCUAUCUAAUGUGAGUUAAAUGCAUAGUUUAGGGGUAGAUUAUAACAUGUAAAUUGAUAGAAUUCAUGGGUUUAAAUGAAAAACCUAGGGUUUUGGUAAAAAUGAGAUUUAACCACGAAAAAGGAUAGGGAAUUUAGUGAAAAUCAUAUAUUUGAGUUCAUGAAGUUAUGGGUAACAAUUUUCUUCGAUCAGGAAUCCGGGCACGUGGGCCCGGAGGUAAAAUUUAGGAAUUCUUCAAUUGGGGUUGGGUAAUCACUUUAAUAAUUAUGAUAUGAACUUUUGAAUAUGUAUUGACUAUUUUAUAUAACAUUUGACUAGUUUCGAGUCGUUUGGCACCGAAUUGAGGGUUUAAAGCACAAUUGUGGACCCGAAAGUAAACUUUGAGACGAGGUAAUUCUCUUUUAUAAUAUUGUGGACGGGUUACUUGACCGUUAAUGAGAAUUGAUGUUUACUUGAAUAUUAGCCUCUUAAUAAUCCUUGAAUUGGUUAUUUAUAAAUUAUUUUCUCUUGUUGUGGAGCGGGCCGAACGCCUCGGUAAUAGAAUAGAUGCAUCUAUGGUUCGUGGCGUUUGACCCUCGACAGUGCACUGUUUAUAUAUUCAUCUGUAGGAUCGGGCCCUACGACCUCAGCGUAGUUGUGCGUAAUAAUUCUUGAAGCCCAACUAUAAUUGAUAUUGUUUCAUUGGCUUGAAAGAUUAAUUUGUUAAAUGAUGGAAGUUAAUUGGGACUUACAAUUAGUGAAAGAAUUAUUUGUGUAUUCUUGUUAUUUCGUCUUCAGUUGUAUUUAUAUACACCAUGCUUAGUUAUAAUUCUAUUAUUUUAUUGUUAGCCCAUAGUAAGUGUCAGAGUCGACCCCUCAUCACUACUUCUUCGAGGUUAGACUGGAUACUUACUGGGUACAUGUUGUUUAUGUACUCACGCUACACUUCUGCACUCAAUGUGUAGGAUCUGAGGCAGGUGUAUCUGGAUAUCAGUCAUGCGAGCAUCCUUAAUUUCUACUAGACUCUGCGGUGAGCUGCCUUUCGAGCCUGUUCUGCAGCUGCCGAAGUCUUUCUUUUGCUUUAUUUUCUAUCUAUUUUAUUUCAGACAGUAGUGUAGUAUUCUUUGUACUUUUUCUAGUAGCUCAUACUUAGUGACACCAGGUCUUGAAGAUUUAUGCUAGUAGACACUUGAUGGUUUUGGGUUAUUUUACUUAUCUCACUUAUUUUCAAAAAAUUUAUCUCUCAUUUUUUUAUUAAAUUCUUACUUCCCAUGUAUGCACAAACUAAAAAUCAACUAUUUUAAAUUUUUAAAAGAAAUGAUCACAGAGUUCAUUCAUUGUUGGCUUUGCCUAGUGGUAAUGUUGGGCACCAUCAGGACAUAUAGGAGAAAUUGAUCGUGACAGAAAUGGUGUUUGACACUUUGGAGAAUGCGAGAUUGGAUGGAAAAUCAAAAGUUCUCUAACAAAAGUUGACCAAAGCAAGACAUAUUCGAAACUCGAAAGAUAUGAUACCACAGGCGCUCUAUUUUCACUAUUACAAGCAAGUGUUACUACCCUUUUGCUCUGAUACUCCUGCAGUCUUACUUAAACUCUUUCAGUGAAAUUUCUAGCUUUGCGUAAAAAAGCGAAACAACAAGAGGAAGGUACUAGUAUCGAAGAGAAAAAAUGUUUGUAGUAUAGAAAAAUGUUAUUGUGAAGAGCAAAAAAACAUUCAUUGAAAAGACUUUGCAUAGAAAAGUUAAGCAGCAUGAGAAAGAUACUAUACCAAAGAGAAAAAAAGCCAUUCAAUGAAAAGUAAAAAAAUAAAAUAUGAAAUGCCUUUGCAUUGCAUUGAAAGGAACAAUACAAUAAAAACCCUUUACCUCGAUUUGGGGAAAAAGGUCCAGACAGAAAUGAAUGCCUAAUAUUGGUAAACGUGAUGAUGGACAUUCUUGUUUCCGGAUGAGCAACCUAUCAGAAGACGACAUUUUUAAAUUUAUUAUUACACAUUUUUCUUUUUCUAUUUGCAACUGUAUAAAAACAAUUGAUGCUUCAAGACAGUGCACACAUGCAUAAUAGGAGUAUCAUAAAGCUAAAACUCUUUUCCAAUUUGUCUUGUUGACAAGCUAUUUUCAAAUGUUUUCUUUCUUAUUUCUUUCUAUUUACUUUUUCUCUUUUCCAGGUUCCGACUCUUUCGAUUUUAAUUAUGCCACUUCUUUGGCCUAAUAUUAAAUACAUGCGUACGCUAUUUUUUGUCAAACAUUGAACUUAUGUGUAUGUCAUCAUCUGUAAUUACUAUAAUUUUAAAACACCGUUAUUGUCACAUCCCAAAAUAUCCUCUAGACGUGACUGACACCCAACUAACACUACCCGCCAGGCGAACUAACUUAUACCAUAUAUUCUACAUUUAUUCAAACUCAACCGAAAUAAAUGUAGGUUCCAACAAUUUGAUAAUUAAAUGCAAAUGAUUAAUACCCCAAAUUGUUCCGUAAAUAUUUAUGAAUAAUAACAACUAAAAACUGAAAAGAACACUCUAGCGAAAAUCCUAUACUAGACCAUAGAGCAUCUAAGAGGAUUACAAAUGACAUCAUAUGAAUAAAUGAUAAAGACUCUUUUGGUAGCCUCCACGAACAAUACGAUGGCUCACCUCAAUAUCUGAGUCAACUCUAGAGAACUCGUCAGCUACUAGCUUUGUCUUUACCAAUAGUAUCUGCAUGGACAUGCAGGUAAGGAGUGAAUUAUACGUAAAUAUAACCCAGUAAAAUUUUCGAUCCGUACUUUUAAUACCUCUGAGACAAGUGUUGGAAAAUACAAAUACAACACAACAAAAACAAUAUACUAAAUACAAUAAUUAUAUAAUAACAUAAUAUAUAGGUAUCAACAGAGUUAAUAACAAUUAACUAACAAGAACACACAUAUCUCAACCCACGACACACUAAGAGCUUGUUAUAACUACAGUGAAAGAAAUUAACCAAUACCUCUAUAAGUCCACAAUGACACCACAAUACCUCAAAAUAUGUAACAGAGCAUACACAAUGCUCACUGAAGCAUACACAAUGCCCCAAAUAUAUCAUGGCUCACAGUCGUAUCAACUCAACCCCAUGCCUCACAACCGUAUCAAACUAUCGAACUCAACAUCAUGGCGCACAACCGUCUCAAACUCAACAACAUGGCUCGCAGCCGUAUCAAACUAUCAAACUCAAUGCCAUGGCGCACAACCGUAUCAAACUCAAUAUCAUGGCGCACAGCCGUAUCAAAUUCAAUAUCAUGGCGCACAGCCGUAUUAAACUAAAUAUCAUGGCACACAGCAGUAUCAAACUCAUCAAACAACUUAUAAUUUUUUUUAUAUAAAAUAAUAUAUUUGCGGCUAGUCUAAGACCACCGAUUUUGUCAAGCGCACACUUGUCCCAACACAUGGACCAGGCAGAAAAAACACACUUUCAAAACAGGUUUUAGAAAAUCAAGCAUCAAAGCUUAAAGUCUCACUUACCUCGCGAGCAACAAGUUUCCCAACCUCAUGAUGCCUAGAACACCAAUCAAACUGCCUCCAAUGACUUCAAUCUAUGCAAAAAUAUUAAUAACAAUGUCAGUUAUGUUCAUCGGAGUCAAAUCUCAAUAUCCCUAACUUUCAAGUUUAGAGUUAAAUCUUAGUAAUCUAUACAACCAUGAAAAUAUAUCCCAGUAUCUCAAUGUAACUCAAUAUUAAAUUUUAAUUUCCGUAAAUUAGUACUCCAGUUCCAUAGUUAAUAACCAUAGAGUAACAUUAAAAAGAAAAAAAAUCCUUAGAAUACGUAAAGUAAAGACUAUGAACAGUAGCUUCAAUAUUAAUGUCCAACUAGGUUCCAUACAUUAUGGACGAAUUCUUGUUUGAUAUCCAAGCUUGCAUCGUUGCCAUUAUUUGAAUAAUCAUUGUGUUCGCCAUCAUUGCCAUAGAUAUAAAUCAUAACUCCAUUACUCUAAUUCAUCUGUGCAAUAUACGUUAAUAUGGGGACUAAAUAAUAUUACCUGUAUGCUUGGAUUUUCCAUGAAAGAUUCCAGAAAAGGUUAGGCCAUUAGAAUCAACUUAAGUCUUUCACUAAUAAAACCUUGCGCCGUCACUGUUGUCUUAGAAAUUCUCCGGCAAUCCUUUUUAUUUUGGUUGUUC